GCCGCGGUGGCGGAAUUGGCAGACGCGCUGGCCUCAGGAGCCAGUGGGCGCAAGCCCAUGCGGGUUCAAAUCCCGCCCGCGGCACCA
rnacentral:tRNA from 1 species